rnacentral:rRNA from 1 species
GAGUUUGAUCAUGGCUCAGAUUGAACGCUGGCGGCAGGCCUAACACAUGCAAGUCGAGCGGUAACAGAGAGAAGCUUGCUUCUUUGCUGACGAGCGGCGGACGGGUGAGUAAUACUUGGGAACUUGCCUCUAGGCGGGGGACAACCACUGGAAACGGUGGCUAAUACCGCAUAAUGUCUACGGACCAAAGUGGGGGACCUUCGGGCCUCACACCUAGAGAUGGACCCAAGUGGGAUUAGCUAGUUGGUGAGGUAAAGGCUCACCAAGGCGACGAUCCCUAGCUGUUCUGAGAGGAUGAUCAGCCACACUGGGACUGAGACACGGCCCAGACUCCUACGGGAGGCAGCAGUGGGGAAUAUUGCACAAUGGGCGCAAGCCUGAUGCAGCCAUGCCGCGUGUGUGAAGAAGGCCUUCGGGUUGUAAAGCACUUUCAGUGGUGAGGAAGGUCAGUAAGUUAAUAGCUUGCUGAAUUGACGUUAGCCACAGAAGAAGCACCGGCUAACUCCGUGCCAGCAGCCGCGUUAC